rnacentral:rRNA from 1 species
UACGUAGGGGCCGAGCGUUGUCCGGAGUUAUUGGGCGUAAAGCGCGCGCAGGCGGCCUCGCGCGCCCGACGUGAAAGCCCCCGGCUUAACCGGGGAGGGUCGUUGGGGACGGCGGGGCUUGAGGGCGGGAGAGGGCGGUGGAAUUCCCGGUGUAGUGGUGAAAUGCGUAGAGAUCGGGAGGAACACCUGUGGCGAAGGCGGCCGUCUGGGCCGACCCUGACGCUGAGGCGCGAAAGCUAGGGGAGCAAACGGG